ensembl:lncRNA
GGCCGCCGGACGUGCACCAGAUGACGCGGGGGGCGGCGGACACCGGGAGAGGGACACCGGGAACGGGAUCUGAGCGGGAUCCAGAACAGCCCGGGACACCGGGAACGGGAUCUGAGCGGGAUCCAGAACGGACCGGGACACCGGGAACGGGAUCCGAGCGGGAUCCAGAACGGACCGGGACACCGGGAACGGAUCUGAGCGGGAUCCAGAAGGGACCGGGACACCGGGAACUGACCAGGACACCGGGAUCGGGAUUGGACCAGGAACGGGAUCUGGGGAUCCGGAAUGGACCGGGACGCCGGGAUCGGGAUCAGGAGACCCAGAUCAGACACCGGGAGCGGAACGGGAUCGAGACACCGGGAUCCGACCGGGAUCCGACCGGGAUCCGACCGGGAUCGGCAAUGGACCGGGGCUGGGAACGGGAACGGGAUCAGAAUGGGAUCCCAGGAAUGCACCGGGAUCGGGAACGGGAUCGGGAUCAGACCGGGAACAGGAACGGGAAUGGACCAGGAAUGGGAUUGGGAUCGGACUGGGAACGGGAUCUGGAUCGGGACCAGGACUGGGAAUGGGAUUGGGAACAGGAACGGGAUUGAGAUCAGACCAAGAAUGGGGAAUGGGAUCGGGAACAGGAAUUGGGAAUGGGAACAGGAAUGGGAUUGGGAUCUGGAUCGGGAAUGGGAACGGAAUUGGGAUCGGGAACGGGAUCGGGAGCAGACCAGGAAUGGGGAAUGGGAUCGGGAAUGGGAUCAGGAUCAGGAUCAGGAAUGGGAACAGAUCAGGAUUGGGAAUGGGAUCAAGAAUGGACCAGGAACGGGAUCGGGAAUGGGAAUAGGAUUGGGAGCAGAACGGGAACAGGACUGGGAGAAGACCGGGAACGGGGAAUGGGAACAGGAAUGGGAACGGGAUUGGGAUCAGAUUGGGAUCGGGAUCAGAUCGGGAUUGGGAUCAGGAUGGGGAAUGGGAUCAGGAAUGGGAUCGGGAUCGGGAAUGCGGCCCCGGGAUUGGGGAGAGCAGCGGGAAUUUGGGAACUCGGGAUCGGCCCCGGGAUGGGAAAUUCGGGAGAGGGAAUUGGGGGAAUUGGGGGAAUUUGGGGGAAUUCCGGAGCUUUCCCGGGAUCAGGGAGAGCCCUGGGUCCAGCGGGGUCGGGAUGGGAAAGGGAAACCCCAAAAUCCCAUUUUAAACCCCAAAAAUCCCAUUUUAACCCCAAAAUUCCCAUUUUUAACCCCCUAAAUUCCUAAAUUUAAAUCCCAAAGAUCUUUUUGGUUUGGCCCAAAAUUCCCAUUUUUAACCCCAAAAAAUCCCAUUUCAAAUCCAAAAAUCUCCUUUUUCACCCCCAAAAUCUCAAUUUUUCAUCAAAAAACCCCACCAAAAAUCCCAUUUUUGACCUCCAAAAUUCCCUUUUUAGCCCCAAAAUUCUCAUUUUCAAAUCACCAAAUCCCAUUUUUCACCCCUCCCAAAAUCCCUUUUUUGCCUCCCUCCAAAAAUAUCCCAUUUUUAACCCUUUUCCUCCCAUUUUAUCCCAAAAUUGGGGGGGUUUUAACCCUUUUUUCCCCAAAAUUUGAAGGUUUUUUUUAACCCUUUCCCUCCCAUGUUAUCUCAAAAUUUGGGGUUUUCUUUUAACCCUUUCUAUCCCAAAAUUUAGGGGGGGGAUUUAACCCUUUUUUCCCAAAAUUGGGGGUUUUUUUAACCCUUUUAUCCCAAAAUUCGGGGCUUUUUUUAACCCUUUCCAUCCCAAAAUUUGGUCGUUUCUUUAACCCUUUUUUCCCAAAAUUUGAGGUUUCUUUGACCGUUUUUUCCCAAAAUUUGGGGGUUCUUUAACCCUUUCCAUCCCAAAAUUUGGGGGUUUUUUUUAACCCUUUUUUCCCAAAAUUUGGGGUUUCUUUGACCGUUUUUUUCCCAGAAUUUGGGGGUUUUUUUUUUACCCCUUUCCAUCCCAAAAUUUGAACUUUUUUUAACCCUUUCCCUCCCAAUUUAUCCCAACAUUUGGGGUUUUCUUUUAACCCUUUUUUCCCAAAAUUUGAGGUUUCUUUGACCGUUUUUUUCCCAGAAUUUGGGUUUUUUUUUACCCCUUUCCAUCCCAGAGUUGGGGGUGUGUUUAACCCUUUCCCUGCCGCAGUUCCCGGCCUCCCUGGGGGAUUUUUGGGGCGAUUUCCCGGCGUUUUGGGGCAGUUCCCGGCGAGUUUUGUACUGUAUUUAUUGUCCAUAGCGUUUUUUAAGGAAUUCCGGACAU